AAAAGCUUGUCUUAUACAAUGGUGGCUGAAACUGAAGUUGAUAAUGGCCAAAAACCAAAUCUGAUUUGAAUGCAGGAUUCAGGAACAAUGUUUCUGCAGAUCUUCUGUAGCAGCUUUUUCUUGCAAAUCUUCAGUUUGUCUAGAGACUUUCUGCUAUGGCUUUAAUUGUCUUCUGAUUGCUUUUCGAUGUGUUUUUUUGUUUUUCAAUAAAUUGUUGCUGCAUCCAUUUAUAGAACCAUAGAUCAGAGUAUUCAUUUCUCGGACAAAUCUUGAUGGAUUUCAAUGAAUAUCUCAUGAAAACAAAAAAUUUA